AACCCCGCCACAUUAUUUGUGUAUGUGCCUGUCCCAAGUCAGGAGCCUGUAAUUCAAUGGUUGUCGUUUGUUUAUGUGUUACAUAUUUGUUUUUCGUUCAUUUUCUUAUAUAAAUAAGGCCGUUAGUUUUCUCGUUUGAAUUGUUUUACAUUGUCUUAUCGGGGCCUUUUAUAGCUGACUAUGCGGUAUGGGCUUUGCUCAUUGUUGAAGGCCGUACGGUGACCUAUAGUUGUUAAUGUCUGUGUCAUUUUUGGUCUCUUGUGGACAGUUGUCUCAUUGGCAAUCAUACCACAUCUCCUUUUUUAUAAAU
rnacentral:lncRNA from 1 species